rnacentral:rRNA from 1 species
AAUAGAUACCCUGGUAGUCCACCCCGUAAACGUUGGGAACUAGUUGUGGGGUCCUUUCCACGGAUUCCGUGACGCAGCUAACGCAUUAAGUUCCCCGCCUGGGGAGUACGGCCGCAAGGCUAAAACUCAAAGGAAUUGACGGGGACCCGCACAAGCGGCGGAGCAUGCGGAUUAAUUCGAUGCAACGCGAAGAACCUUACCAAGGCUUGACAUACACCAGAACACCCUAGAAAUAGGGGACUCUUUGGACACUGGUGAACAGGUGGUGCAUGGUUGUCGUCAGCUCGUGUCGUGAGAUGUUGGGUUAAGUCCCGCAACGAGCGCAACCCUCGUUCUAUGUUGCCAGCACGUAAUGGUGGGAACUCAUGGGAUACUGCCGGGGUUCAACUCGGAGGAAGGUGGGGAUGACGUCAAAUCAUCAUGCCCCUUAUGUCUUGGGCUUCACGCAUGCUACAAUGGCCGGUACAAAGGGCUGCAAUACCGUGAGGUGGAGCGAAUCCCGAAAAAGCCGGUCCCAGUUCGGAUUGAGGUCUGCAACUCGACCUCA